rnacentral:rRNA from 1 species
AGCAGCAGCCGCGGUAAUACGUAGGUCCCGAGCGUUGUCCGGAUUUAUUGGGCGUAAAGCGAGCGCAGGCGGUUAGAUAAGUCUGAAGUUAAAGGCUGUGGCUUAACCAUAGUACGCUUUGGAAACUGUUUAACUUGAGUGCAAGAGGGGGGAGUGGAAUUCCAUGUGUAGCGGUGAAAUGCGUAGAUAUAUGGAGGAACACCGGUGGCGAAAGCGGCUCUCUGGCUUGUAACUGACGCUGAGGCUCGGAAGCGUGGGGAGCAAACAGGAUUAGAUACCCCCGUAGUCCCUGUCUCUUAUACA